GCUACGGGAGGCAGCAGUGAGGAAUAUUGGUCAAUGGCCGGAAGGCUGAACCAGCCAAGCCGCGUGAGGGAGGAAGGCGCAGAGCGUCGCAGACCUCUUUUGCCGGGGGACAAAAGGCCGGACGGGUCCGGUUCUGAGGGUACCCGGAGAAAAAGCAUCGGCUAACUCCGUGCCAGCAGCCGCGGUAAUACGGAGGAUGCGAGCGUUAUCCGGCGUCAUUGGGUUUAAAGGGUGCGCAGGCGGGCCUUUAAGCCGGCGGGGAAAUCGCGGGGCUCAACCCCGCCGGGCCGGUGGAACUGGGGGCCUGGAGUGCGGGGGAGGCAAGCGGAAGGCGCGGUGGAGCGGGGAAAUG
rnacentral:rRNA from 1 species